UACGUAGGGUGCAAGCGUUGUUCGGAAUUAUUGGGCGUAAAGCGCGUGUAGGUGGUUAGUUAAGUCGAUUGUAAAAGCCCUAGGCUCAACCAAGGAAGUGCAUUCGAAACUAGCUAACUAGAGGAUGGCAGAGGAAGGUGGAAUUCCAAGUGUAGAGGUGAAAUUCGUAGAUAUUUGGAGGAAUACCGGCGGCGAAGGCGGCCUUCUGGACCAUUCCUGACACUGAGACGCGAAAGCGUGGGGAGCAAACAGG
rnacentral:rRNA from 1 species